rnacentral:rRNA from 1 species
AUUGAACGCUGGCGGCAGGCCUAACACAUGCAAGUCGAACGGUAACAGGAAGAAGCUUGCUUCUUUGCUGACGAGUGGCGGACGGGUGAGUAAUGUCUGGGAAACUGCCUGAUGGAGGGGGAUAACUACUGGAAACGGUAGCUAAUACCGCAUAACGUCGCAAGACCAAAGAGGGGGACCUUCGGGCCUCUGGCCAUCGGAUGUGCCCAGAUGGGAUUAGCUAGUGGGUGGGGUAACGGCUCACCUAGGCGACGAUCCCUAGCUGGUCUGAGAGGAUGACAAGCCGCACUGGAACUGAGACACGGUCCAGACUACUACGGGAGGCAGCAGUGGGGAAUAUUGCACAAUGGGCGCAAGCAUGAUGCAGCCAUGCCGAGUGUAUGAAGACGGCCUUCGGGUUGUAAAGUACUUUCAGCGGGGAGGAAGGGAGUAAAGUUAAUACCUUUGCUCAUUGACGUUACCCGCAGAAGAAGCACCGGCUAACUCCGUG